rnacentral:SRP_RNA from 2 species
UUUUCAGACCUAUGCAAUUAUAGCUUGGGAUAAUGCUUCAGGGUGGGAACACAGCAGAGUAGCCCAUACUAUGGUGUGCCUUAGCCAUCUGGAGAGGG